GAAAGCGAGGAGGUACAUAUGAAACGGUCGCCAGUGGUUAAGUUUUAUCAACAGUAUUUUACCGCAACCCAAAGUGUUUCUGCUGGAUGGCUGGCUCGCCUGACAGCAUCGCAACGUCUUAGGAUGCUUGAGGACUUAAUGCAGUGGGAGGUGACAACUUCCGUGACCGUGAAGUACUGACUCGUUGAUACAUGUGUGACUGAGAAUUGGUGAUGUUCACCUGGCCAGCAGAUUGUUACUGCUGGCUUUUUUA
rnacentral:sRNA from 1 species